GCUCACUCUUACUCACAACACGCUAACCGGCAACAUAGGAUUCCAUUCACUACGCUAAGCUAACGAGCAGCGGCACUGCCGGUGUUGCACCAAACUAAAACAAAACAUGCACUGAGACAAGAAAUGCGUUGGCCCACCAAUCUAAAGCUAGGGUAGACCGUGAUAAGCCCUAUAUCAACAAAUGGUGGCAUGCUU